rnacentral:rRNA from 1 species
AGAGUUUGAUCCUGGCUCAGAUUGAACGCUGGCGGCAGGCCUAACACAUGCAAGUCGAGCGGUAGAGAGAAGCUUGCUUCUCUUGAGAGCGGCGGACGGGUGAGUAAUGCCUAGGAAUCUGCCUGGUAGUGGGGGAUAACGUUCGGAAACGGACGCUAAUACCGCAUACGUCCUACGGGAGAAAGCAGGGGACCUUCGGGCCUUGCGCUAUCAGAUGAGCCUAGGUCGGAUUAGCUAGUUGGUGAGGUAAUGGCUCACCAAGGCGACGAUCCGUAACUGGUCUGAGAGGAUGAUCAGUCACACUGGAACUGAGACACGGUCCAGACUCCUACGGGAGGCAGCAGUGGGGAAUAUUGGACAAUGGGCGAAAGCCUGAUCCAGCCAUGCCGCGUGUGUGAAGAAGGUCUUCGGAUUGUAAAGCACUUUAAGUUGGGAGGAAGGGUUGUAGAUUAAUACUCUGCAAUUUUGACGUUACCGACAGAAUAAGCACCGGCUAACUCUGUGCCAGCAGCCGCGGUAAUACAGAGGGUGCAAGCGUUAAUCGGAAUUACUGGGCGUAAAGCGCGCGUAGGUGGUUUGUUAAGUUGGAUGUGAAAUCCCCGGGCUCAACCUGGGAACUGCAUUCAAAACUGACUGACUAGAGUAUGGUAGAGGGUGGUGGAAUUUCCUGUGUAGCGGUGAAAUGCGUAGAUAUAGGAAGGAACACCAGUGGCGAAGGCGACCACCUGGACUAAUACUGACACUGAGGUGCGAAAGCGUGGGGAGCAAACAGGAUUAGAUACCCUGGUAGUCC